rnacentral:rRNA from 1 species
UGGGGAAUAUUGGACACUGGGCGAAAGCCUGAUCCAGCCAUGCCGCGUGUGUGAAGAAGGUCUUCGGAUUGUAAAGCACUUUAAGUUGGGAGGAAGGGCAGUAAGCGAAUACCUUGCUGUUUUGACGUUACCGACAGAAUAAGCACCGGCUAACUCUGUGCCAGCAGCCGCGGUAAUACAGAGGGUGCAAGCGUUAAUCGGAAUUACUGGGCGUAAAGCGCGCGUAGGUUGUUCGUUAAGUUGAAUGUGAAAGCCCCGGGCUCAACCUGGGAACUGCAUCCAAAACGGGCGAGAUAGAGUAGGGCAGAGGGGGGUAGAAUUGACUGUGUAGCGGUGAGAUGCGUAGAUAUAGGAAGGAAAACCAGUGGCGAAGGGGACCACCUGGGCUCAUACUGACACUGAGGUGGGAAAGCGUGGGGAGCAAACAGG